rnacentral:rRNA from 1 species
AUUGAACGCUGGCGGCAGGCUUAACACAUGCAAGUCGAACGGUAACAUAGAGAAGCUUGCUUCUUUGAUGACGAGUGGCGGACGGGUGAGUAAUGCUUGGGAAUCUGGCUUAUGGAGGGGGAUAACUACGGGAAACUGUAGCUAAUACCGCGUAAUAUCGAAAGAUUAAAGUGUGGGACCUUCGGGCCACAUGCCAUAGGAUGAGCCCAAGUGGGAUUAGGUAGUUGGUGAGGUAAAGGCUCACCAAGCCGACGAUCUCUAGCUGGUCUGAGAGGAUGACCAGCCACACUGGGGCUGAGACACGGCCCAGACUCCUACGGGAGGCAGCAGUGGGGAAUAUUGCGCAAUGGGGGCAACCCUGACGCAGCCAUGCCGCGUGAAUGAAGAAGGCCUUCGGGUUGUAAAGUUCUUUCGGUAGCGAGGAAGGUGGUUAGUUUAAUAGGCUAGCCAAUUGACGUUAACUACAGAAGAAGCACCGGCUAACUCCGUG